GAUGAAGAACGCAGCGAAAUGCGAUAAGUAAUGUGAAUUGCAGAAUUCAGUGAAUCAUCGAAUCUUUGAACGCACAUUGCGCCCGCCAGUAUUCUGGCGGGCAUGCCUGUUCGAGCGUCAUUACAACCCUCAGGCCCCGGGCCUGGCGUUGGGGAUCGGCGGAAGCCCCCUGUGGGCACACGCCGUCCCUCAAAUACAGUGGCGGUCCCGCCGCAGCUUCCAUUGCGUAGUAGCUAACACCUCGCAACUGGAGAGCGGCGCGGCCAUGCCGUAAAACACCCAACUUCUGAAUGUUGACCUCGAAUCAGGUAGGAAUACCCGCUGAACUUAAGCAUAUCAAUAAGCGGAGGA
rnacentral:misc_RNA from 1 species